rnacentral:rRNA from 1 species
UACGUAGGGGGCAAGCGUUGUCCGGAUUUAUUGGGCGUAAAGAGCGUGUAGGCGGCUUUACAGGUCCGUUGUGAAAACUCGAGGCUCAACCUCGAGACGCCGGUGGAAACCGUAAAGCUAGAGUCCGGAAGAGGAGAGUGGAAUUCCUGGUGUAGCGGUGAAAUGCGUAGAGAUGUGGAGGAACACCAGUGGCGAAGGCGACUCUUUGGCCUGUAACUGACGCUGAGGCGCGAAAGCGUGGGGAGCGAACAGG